GCAAGCGUUAUCCGGAUUCACUGGGUUUAAAGGGUGCGUAGGCGGAUUAGAAAGUCCGUUGUGAAAUCUCUGAGCUUAACUCGGAAAUUGCGGUGGAUACUAUUAGUCUUGAAUACUGUGGAGGUUAGCGGAAUAUGUCAUGUAGCGGUGAAAUGCAUAGAUAUGACAUAGAACACCAAUUGCGAAGGCAGCUGGCUACACAGAUAUUGACGCUGAGGCACGAAAGCGUGGGGAUCAAACAGG
rnacentral:rRNA from 1 species